rnacentral:rRNA from 1 species
CAGCAGCCACGGUAAUACGUAGGUGGCAAGCGUUGUCCGGAAUUAUUGGGCGUAAAGGGCUCGCAGGCGGUUUCUUAAGUCUGAUGUGAAAGCCCCCGGCUCAACCGGGGAGGGUCAUUGGAAACUGGGAAACUUGAGUGCAGAAGAGGAGAGUGGAGUUCCACGUGUAGCGGUGAAAUGCGUAGAGAUGUGGAGGAACACCAGUGGCGAAGGCGACUCUCUGGUCUGUAACUGACGCUGAGGAGCGGAAGCGUGGGGAGCGAACAGGAUUAGAGACCCCUGUAGUCCCUGUCUCUUAUAC